GCUUCGGUUCGUAAACCCCUGUCAUCUGUGAGUAAGGCUCCCAAUAAAAGCUUGGGAGAUUGAUAUCAGCAGAAGAGGAAGGGACGGCUAACUCAGUGCCAGCAGCCGCGGUAAUACUGAGGUCCCAAGCGUUGUUCGGAUUUACUGGGCGUAAAGGGUGCGUAGGCGGCUAUAAAAGUUUGGUGUGAAAUCUCCGGGCUCAACCCGGAAACUGCAUUGAAAACUAGAUAGCUAGAGGAUCGGAGAGGAGAUUGGAAUUCUCAGUGUAGCAGUGAAAUGCGUAGAUAUUGAGAGGAACACCAGUUGCGAAGGCGGAUCUCUGGACGGUUCCUGACGCUGAGGCACGAAAGCUGGGGUAGCGAAGAGGAUUAGAUACCCUCGUAGUCCCAGCCGUAAACGGUGCACACUUGCUGUGGGCGGAUUCGACCCCGUCCGUGGCGAAGCUAACGCGAUAAGUGCGCCGCCUGGGGAGUACGGUCGCAAGAUUAAAACUCAAAGAAAUUGACGGGGGCCUGCACAAGCGGUGGAGUAUGUGGCUUAAUUCGAUGCAACGCGAAGAACCUUACCUGGCCUUGACAUGUAGUGGACCGGGUGCGAAAUCACCCUUUUCUUCGGAACUGCUACACAGGUGCUGCAUGGCUGUCGUCAGCUCGUGUCGUGAGAUGUUGGGUUAAGUCCCGCAACGAGCGCAACCCCCGUGUUCUGUUGCCACCCGGAUGAGAAUCCGGAGCACUCUGGACAGACUGCCUGGUUUCAACCAGGAGGAAGGUGGGGAUGACGUCAAGUCAGUAUGGCCCUUACGGCCAGGGCUGCACACGUACUACAAUGCCUGAUAUAAUGGGAAGCGAGACCGCGAGGUGGAGCAAAUCCUCAAAAUCAGGCCCAGUUCAGAUUGUAGGCUGCAACUCGCCUACAUGAAGGAGGAAUCGCUAGUAAUGCCGUAUCAGCUACGACGGCGUGAAUACGUUCCCAGGCCUUGUACACACCGCCCGUCACAUCAUGAAAGUCGAUUGUACCCGAAGUCGCCGCGUUAACCGCAAGGAGACAGGUGCCGAAGGUAUGGUUGGUAAUUGGGAUGAAGUCGUAACAAGGUAGCCGUAGGGGAACCUGUGGCUG
rnacentral:rRNA from 1 species